GAAAGGCGCGCGAUACAGGGUGACAGCCCCGUACACAAAAAUGCACAUGCUGUGAGCUCGAUGAGUAGGGCGGGACACGUGGUAUCCUGUCUGAAUAUGGGGGGACCAUCCUCCAAGGCUAAAUACUCCUGACUGACCGAUAGUGAACCAGUACCGUGAGGGAAAGGCGAAAAGAACCCCGGCGAGGGGAGUGAAAAAGAACCUGAAACCGUGUACGUACAAGCAGUGGGAGCACGCUUAGGCGUGUGACUGCGUACCUUUUGUAUAAUGGGUCAGCGACUUAUAUUCUGUAGCAAGGUUAACCGAAUAGGGGAGCCGAAGGGAAACCGAGUCUUAACUGGGCGUUAAGUUGCAGGGUAUAGACCCGAAACCCGGUGAUCUAGCCAUGGGCAGGUUGAAGGUUGGGUAACACUAACUGGAGGACCGAACCGACUAAUGUUGAAAAAUUAGCGGAUGACUUGUGGCUGGGGGUGAAAGGCCAAUCAAACCGGGAGAUAGCUGGUUCUCCCCGAAAGCUAUUUAGGUAGCGCCUCGUGAAUUCAUCUCCGGGGGUAGAGCACUGUUUCGGCAAGGGGGUCAUCCCGACUUACCAACCCGAUGCAAACUGCGAAUACCGGAGAAUGUUAUCACGGGAGACACACGGCGGGUGCUAACGUCCGUCGUGAAGAGGGAAACAACCCAGACCGCCAGCUAAGGUCCCAAAGUCAUGGUUAAGUGGGAAACGAUGUGGGAAGGCCCAGACAGCCAGGAUGUUGGCUUAGAAGCAGCCAUCAUUUAAAGAAAGCGUAAUAGCUCACUGGUCGAGUCGGCCUGCGCGGAAGAUGUAACGGGGCUAAACCAUGCACCGAAGCUGCGGCAGCGACGCUGAUGCGUUGUUGGGUAGGGGAGCGUUCUGUAAGCCUGCGAAGGUGUGCUGUGAGGCAUGCUGGAGGUAUCAGAAGUGCGAAUGCUGACAUAAGUAACGAUAAAGCGGGUGAAAAGCCCGCUCGCCGGAAGACCAAGGGUUCCUGUCCAACGU
rnacentral:rRNA from 1 species